UGGGGAAUAUUGGACAAUGGGCGAAAGCCUGAUCCAGCCAUGCCGCGUGUGUGAAGAAGGUCUUCGGAUUGUAAAGCACUUUAAGUUGGGAGGAAGGGCAUUAACCUAAUACGUUAGUGUUUUGACGUUACCGACAGAAUAAGCACCGGCUAACUCUGUGCCAGCAGCCGCGGUAAUACAGAGGGUGCAAGCGUUAAUCGGAAUUACUGGGCGUAAAGCGCGCGUAGGUGGUUUGUUAAGUUGGAUGUGAAAUCCCCGGGCUCAACCUGGGAACUGCAUUCAAAACUGACUGACUAGAGUAUGGUAGAGGGUGGUGGAAUUUCCUGUGUAGCGGUGAAAUGCGUAGAUAUAGGAAGGAACACCAGUGGCGAAGGCGACCACCUGGACUAAUACUGACACUGAGGUACGAAAGCGUGGGGAGCAAACA
rnacentral:rRNA from 1 species